GUAACUCUAGCCUUGAAUCAUCCAAAGUUUCCAUUCUAAUUUAAGUACAAAUGAAAAUAGGAGAUUUCUUUUACAGCCCAAGGAAUUUGGAAAAUUUUCAGGGCUCCCCAGAAUACAAGCAGAGGUACCUACCAUCAUUAAACCAAAUUGAAUCCCACAAUAAUACAUGGUUCUUGAGGUUCUUCUUGACCUUACUGCUAGAUACCAAGCAAAUAUAGCAGUGUCAGUCCUACUCUUCUUUGUUAAAACAUCAGUCACAUUUGAUGUUCCUAUAAAUCCUCCUCACGAACAGAUGUGACCCCAAAAAUCCAACAGCACCGCAGAGAAUUCCCAAACCGAGACAAAACAUCAUUGUAUAUCCAAAAUAGAAGCUGGUCUGGAAGAACCCUGACAUCUUAGUUUUCACAUAGUAGUAAUAUACUGAGUACAGGUAGACGUAGACAGCUGUAGAGAAUGCUGAGAAAAAUGAAGUCCACUGCCAAUGAUAAUUCUCAGCAUUUAGCAGGAAAUAUGUGCCCACAAUGGUCACACAGACGGUAACAACAAUGAGUAUCAGGAACACCAAAAGCAUGAACCCGUAAACAUAGUACACCUUGUAAUUCCAG
rnacentral:misc_RNA from 1 species